AUGAACGCUGGCGGCGUGCCUAAUACAUGCAAGUCGCGCGAACGGACGAGAGGCUUGCUUCUCUGAUGUUAGCGGCGGACGGGUGAGUAACACGUGGAUAACCUACCUAUAAGACUGGGAUAACUUCGGGAAACCGGAGCUAAUACCGGAUAAUAUUUUGAACCGCAUGGUUCAAAAGUGAAAGACGGUCUUGCUGUCACUUAUAGAUGGAUCCGCGCUGCAUUAGCUAGUUGGUAAGGUAACGGCUUACCAAGGCAACGAUGCAUAGCCGACCUGAGAGGGUGAUCGGCCACACUGGAACUGAGACACGGUCCAGACUCCUACGGGAGGCAGCAGUAGGGAAUCUUCCGCAAUGGGCGAAAGCCUGACGGAGCAACGCCGCGUGAGUGAUGAAGGUCUUCGGAUCGUAAAACUCUGUUAUUAGGGAAGAACAUAUGUGUAAGUAACUGUGCACAUCUUGACGGUACCUAAUCAGAAAGCCACGGCUAACUACGUG
rnacentral:rRNA from 1 species